rnacentral:tRNA from 1 species
UCCCAGGUAGCUUAAUGGUAAAGCACCCAACCGGCAAUAUUGGGGGAUCUGGGUUCAAGUCCCGGUCCGGGCU